GCUCCUUUAGCUCAGAUGGAAGAGCAAUAGACUUUUAAUCUAUGGGUCGCAGGUUCAAAACCUGCAAGGGGCACCA
rnacentral:tRNA from 1 species